GAGUAUUGAGAAUAUUAAUUCUCGACUUGCUCUUGUGAUGAAGAGUGGGAAAUAUGUGCUUGGUUACAAACAAACACUCAAGACACUGAGACAAGGAAAAGCCAAGUUGGUAAUCAUUGCCAGCAACACACCACCACUAAGGGAUGUAUAGAGACAGGGUAAAACUGCUCAUUUGCAGGCAUAGUCUUGAAUCUAGCCUCUAGUAGACAUAUAACUGGAAGAGUGAAAUCGAGUACUAUGCUAUGUUGGCUAAGACUGGUGUCCAU